UACGUAGGGGGCAAGCGUUGUCCGGAAUUAUUGGGCGUAAAGAGCUCGUAGGCGGUCUGUUGCGUCCGCUGUGAAAACUCGGGGCUUAACCCCGAGCCUGCAGUGGAUACGGGCAGACUAGAGGUAGGUAGGGGAGAAUGGAAUUCCCGGUGUAGCGGUGAAAUGCGCAGAUAUCGGGAGGAACACCAAUGGCGAAGGCAGCUCGCUGGGACGGUACUGACGCUGAGACGCGAAAGCGUGGGGAGCAAACAGG
rnacentral:rRNA from 1 species